GGGAUAGGAACCAGGCGUGCUACAUUAGAAUGUAGCUGACGUUACUGUAUAGACGAGAAAGUGGGAAGAGUUUCUGCCACUUGCCAUUUUUAAGUCUCCCUCUUUACUUUUUUGUUGUUAAAAAUCUUAGUAUCACAAACAUAACUGCUUUAGUAGGGCUUGUUUUGAUAAUGAGACCUACAACAGCAACAUCUUUUCAAAAACGUAUAAUAGAGAGAUCUGUUUUGGGCUUUCAUGAUUCCUCCUGGUCUUCAAAUACUUUGAAAAUAAUUAAGUUUACUCUGAACCACGUAUAUUUCAUAACUAGAGGUUAGACCAGGAAUUGUUCUCAGCGCAAUGACAGUAAAAACAUCACUAUUGCAUGGAGAAGAUUGCUGUUCUGUUUGUGUUUAUUAAAUGUUUAUUUAUUGUUUAAAAGACUGUAAGACCCUUCAUGUUUUUCAGCUCUGCUCCUGAAUCUUCUGACAAAGCAGGAAAUUAUAUUAGAACAACUUAGAAUAAUUUUUCAAACCGUUCAAGACCAGCAAGGCAGGAGGGUCCUGCAAGAAGACCUACCUGAUGGUCUUUUUCCAGUAGGCAGUGUUCAACAAAUGGAACAUCUUGAUGGGGAGCUGAAGGCCAGCAGAGAGUUUAGGCAAAAGAUGAUUGACUAUUGGGACUGAAAUGUGGCUGUGAUGUGAAAGAGAGUGUGUGGAGGAUCAUGGCACACAUAAUCUCCCAUGAUCUUUCAAAGACGAUGAACUGGAGGGGAAUCAAUGGAAAGCUGCCCUUCUGCCAACUGCAGCUCAAAAAGAUAGUUAAUGUUCUACUAUUGCCAAAGUCCUUCAUGAAUACUAGAAAGCAUAGAAAGAAACAUCUAAAUAAACCAAUGAUUCUUUAUUCCCCAAUUUUCAUUUAAAGCUGUGGUGAGGAGAAACUGGCUCACGUCCGAUACAACCGACAAAGAAGUGGAAAAUAGUGUCAAAAGAUGGUUCCAUCUGUCAGGGGAACAAAAUGGUGGUCGCAAGGAAAGUAGACAAAGAAGGGAGAGGUUGGACAAUACUUAGAUACUCUUGGUGGGGUUCUGAUAAUAACCACAGAGGAUAAAAAAUGUUUCACAAAUGUUUGUUCCAAUACUACAGCAUAAACCCUACAUUUGUGUGGGGGUGGGGGUCUGGUGUUAGUUGCAGUUAAAUUAAGUCAGUUGCAGUUAAGAAUCUAGCUCCUAUUUGUAUUUUAUUUUUACCAAGUGAUCAGAUGAUAAUAGUGGUCCAUUUUCAUUACAACUAUGUUGUCAUUUAGCCGGACAAGUGUUUUUUUGCACCAUCAAUGUUGCUGUCUUAGAGACUAGUUUCUGUUACAAUGUUUUCAGUGCUCUGAUGUGGCCCUGUUUAUAGGGCUUGUUGUAAUUUGCAAGUAAUGUUUCUAUUUCGUCUUCACAAGGCUCAUUUGGGCAACAAUCAUUUGAGAUGUGAGCUUGUUUUAAAACAAUAUGUGUAACAGUGUUUGCUGUGUUGCCACUGCAGAACUUUAAUGUUCUGUAUCAAUGCACUUGUAUGUUAUGGUGUAUGAUUAAGCUAGCAUGCACAAACUAGACUUUACAGUAGAGCACAAUAGAGUACAGCAUACAUUACUGUAUUCUAAUUGAAUGUGCUUUAUUGUGCUAACUGUACUGUACUAUACAAAUUAAAAGACAAUUUCAGUAUUUAGGACCCUAAUCAUAUAAAUGCCAUGUUAUAGAAGGGUGAAUACUUAAAAAAAAUAUAUCACUAGGUUUUGAGUAACUUACAGCAGUUGUCUUCCUGAGCAUCUACCUGAGAUGGAAAUGGUAACAAAGGCUCCAAAAACAUACAAAUACGUACUUUUACAAGCUGCAAAGUUCUCGUUAUCAUGGUGCAGGUCUGUAGAUGUUGUAGAAAUGAACAUUUUGUAAUUCUAAACUUUAUCUGCAAUGACCUGUGAUAACGAGAUCAUUGCAGCUUGUAAAAGGAUGUAUGUGUUUUUUUUUUUUUUUUACCUUUUCGUGUUGCCAACUUGCACCAAAUUUCAAAAGUGUCUUGACCUUUCUAUAACAUGGCAUUUAUAUGAUAAAUACAGAUUAGUGUCCUAAAUACUGAAUUGUCCUUCACCUGCUGUAAUUUGAUUUCCCAACUUUGUGAAUCAGAUUGUUACUUGGUCCUGUCCGGACCAACCAAAUGUGGGGUUGUAGCUCAGGAAUAGCCACAUUGUAGUUUUAUCAUUGUAUGUAUUAUCUUUUGCUUGUGAUAAAAUUUACAAAUCACAGUC